UGCCGGACAUGCUGGUAGACUUCUUCUUCAGCACAGAAGAAAGAGCAUGCAGCUUGGUCAUCACACUGAUCUUUGUGCGGGUUGCAAAAUCAGCGGGAGUGGGAUUAAGAAACAGUCCCGCGCAGGGCUCUAC